GUUGUUCAUGAAAGUUGUAAAGAAGGUACAUGUGAAGUUACAGAAGCUCUGCUUAGUCACAUUGGCAAACUGGCCUCCGAUCCCCAAAUAAACAUCAUGAUCCAGAAAGAGGCAGCAAGGAAACUCAACGCUAUUCUGGCAAAGAUUCCCAUGGAGCUGAAAAAGAAGAAGACGAUCUUGUCAUCUCAAGAGGGCUCGUG